rnacentral:tRNA from 1 species
GGGGCUGUCGCUCAGUGGUGGAGCACUUGCCUUGCAUGCAUGAGGCACUGGAUUCGAUCCUCAGCCUCA